GUGGGGAAUAUUGGACAAUGGGCGGAAGCCUGAUCCAGCAACGCCGCGUGAGGGAUGACGGCCUUCGGGUUGUAAACCUCUUUCAGUACCGACGAAGCGCCGAUGAUGGUGGUGACGGUAGGUACAGAAGAAGCACCGGCCAACUACGUGCCAGCAGCCGCGGUAAUACGUAGGGUGCGAGCGUUGUCCGGAAUUAUUGGGCGUAAAGGGCUCGUAGGCGGUUUGUCGCGUCGGGAGUGAAAACACCGGGCUUAACUCGGUGCUUGCUUUCGAUACGGGCAGACUAGAGGCAUGCAGGGGAGAACGGAAUUCCUGGUGUAGCGGUGAAAUGCGCAGAUAUCAGGAGGAACACCGGUGGCGAAGGCGGUUCUCUGGGCAUGUCCUGACGCUGAGGAGCGAAAGUGUGGGGAGCGA
rnacentral:rRNA from 1 species